UACGGAGGAUGCGAGCGUUAUUCGGAUUUAUUGGGUUUAAAGGGAGCGCAGACGGGUCGUUAAGUCAGCUGUGAAAGUUUGGGGCUCAACCUUAAAAUUGCAGUUGAUACUGGCGUCCUUGAGUGCGGUUGAGGUGUGCGGAAUUCGUGGUGUAGCGGUGAAAUGCUUAGAUAUCACGAAGAACUCCGAUUGCGAAGGCAGCACACUAAUCCGUAACUGACGUUCAUGCUCGAAAGUGUGGGUAUCAAACAGG
rnacentral:rRNA from 1 species